rnacentral:tRNA from 1 species
GACCCCUUCGUCCAGUGGCCUAGGACGGCGCCCUUUCACGGCGCAAACACGGGUUCGACUCCCGUAGGGGUCACCA